GGAGGCAAUUCAGGCAGUAGCUCUGCGCUUUCCCAAUCACUGUUAGUGAUAGCUCUUUACAUCGGGAGUUUAGCAGAGAGGAAAGUCCGGACAUCCCUCCGACUUUAUGUCGGAGAGCAAGGUAGCGGGUAACGCCCGUCGCGGGUAACCGUAGAGGUGCGAGCAGUGACGUCGCGUGGCGCAAGCUUUACGCGAGAGCCCUAUCCCAACGUAGAAGGCUCAAUCUGGCUAUAGGGAUAAAAGGCCAGAGUGAAACGGCUAAAUCCUUACCCGGAUGCAAGGUCGUACCAGGUACCAUACGGUAUCUGGGGUGCCGCAUGAGCCCGAGAGUAAUCGAGGGCCUAGAUAAAUUACUGCUACUCCGACCUUGCGUCGGAGUACAGAAUCCGGCUUAUCGAUUGCCUCCACAA
rnacentral:RNase_P_RNA from 1 species